rnacentral:rRNA from 1 species
ACGUAGGGACCAAGCGUUGUUCGGAUUUACUGGGCGUAAAGGGCGCGUAGGCGGCAAUUCAAGUCAUCUGUGAAAUCUCCGGGCUUAACUCGGAACGGUCAGAUGAUACUGCUUUGCUCGAGUGCGGAAGGGGCAAUCGGAAUUCUUGGUGUAGCGGUGAAAUGCGUAGAUAUCAGGAGGAACACCGAUGGCGAAGGCAGGUCUCUGGGCCAUUACUGACACUGAGAAGCGAAAGCAUGGGGAGCGAACAGGA